GAUGAACGCUGGCGGCGUGCCUAAUACAUGCAAGUCGAGCGAACAGAUGAGGAGCUUGCUCCUCUGACGUUAGCGGCGGACGGGUGAGUAACACGUGGAUAACCUACCUAUAAGACUGGGAUAACUUCGGGAAACCGGAGCUAAUACCGGAUAAUAUAUUGAACCGCAUGGUUCAAUAGUGAAAGACGGUUUUGCUGUCACUUAUAGAUGGAUCCGCGCCGCAUUAGCUAGUUGGUAAGGUAACGGCUUACCAAGGCGACGAUGCGUAGCCGACCUGAGAGGGUGAUCGGCCACACUGGAACUGAGACACGGUCCAGACUCCUACGGGAGGCAGCAGUAGGGAAUCUUCCGCAAUGGGCGAAAGCUUGACGGAGCAACGCCGCGUGAGUGAUGAAGGUCUUCGGAUCGUAAAACUCUGUUAUUAGGGAAGAACAAAUGUGUAAGUAACUAUGCACGUCUUGACGGUACCUAAUCAGAAAGCCACGGCUAACUAUGUG
rnacentral:rRNA from 1 species